rnacentral:rRNA from 1 species
GAUGAACGCUGGCGGCGUGCCUAAUACAUGCAAGUCGAGCGAACAGACGAGGAGCUUGCUCCUCUGACGUUAGCGGCGGACGGGUGAGUAACACGUGGAUAAUCUACCUAUAAGACUGGGAUAACUUCGGGAAACCGGAGCUAAUACCGGAUAAUAUAUUGAACCGCAUGGUUCAAUAGUGAAAGACGGUUUUGCUGUCACUUAUAGAUGGAUCCGCGCCGCAUUAGCUAGUUGGUAAGGUAACGGCUUACCAAGGCAACGAUGCGUAGCCGACCUGAGAGGGUGAUCGGCCACACUGGAACUGAGACACGGUCCAGACUCCUACGGGAGGCAGCAGUAGGGAAUCUUCCGCAAUGGGCGCAAGCCUGACGGAGCAACGCCGCGUGAGUGAUGAAGGUCUUCGGAUCGUAAAACUCUGUUAUUAGGGAAGAACAAAUGUGUAAGUAACUAUGCACGUCUUGACGGUACCUAAUCAGAAAGCCACGGCUAACUACGUG